rnacentral:ncRNA from 1 species
CCGUUAUAAAGGUGCAUCACCUGAUCAAUGAUGGCUCACGCCUUAUAGCGGACAGUAAAUAUCAGCACAGCGAUCUGAUGAGCAAGAGAGCUGCAAUCGGAAUGGAGACCACUCCAUUUGGACUGCGGUUAGGUUACUAUUGCCAUUUUUGCGCUGUACC